GAUGAACGCUGGCGGCGUGCCUAAUACAUGCAAGUCGAGCGAACAGACGCUGAGCUUGCUUCUCUGACGUUAGCGGCGGACGGGUGUAUAACAUGUGUAUCACCUACCUAUCAGACGGAUAUAACUUCGGGAAACCGGCUCUUAUCCCGGAUAAUAUCUUGAUCCACAGGGUUCGUUAGUGAAAUACGGUCUUGCUGUCACUUAUCGAUGGAUCCCCGCUUCAUUGGCUGGUAGUUACGUUAACGGCUUUCCAAGGCAACGCUGCGUAGCCGACCUGCGGGGGUGAUAGGCGACACGGGAGCUGAGACGCCGUCCAGAGUACUACGGGAGGCAGCAGUAGGGAAUGGUCCGCAAUAGGCGAAAGCCUGACGGAGCAAGGCCGCGUGAGAGAUGAAGGUCCUCGGAGCGUAAAACUCGGUUAUUAGGGAAGAACAGAUGUGGAAGGAACUGUGCAGAUCGUGACGGUACCUAAUCAGAAAGCCACGGCUAACUACGUG
rnacentral:rRNA from 1 species